UCAGGAUGAACGCUGGCGGCGUGCCUAACACAUGCAAGUCGAACGAAGCACUUGUACGAUCCCUUCGGGGUGACGACUUGUGACUGAGUGGCGGACGGGUGAGUAACGCGUGGGAAACCUGCCCUAUACCGGGGGAUAACAGUUGGAAACGACUGCUAAUACCGCAUAAGCGCACGAGAUGGCAUCAUCUAGUGUGAAAAACUCCGGUGGUAUAGGAUGGUCCCGCGUCUGAUUAGCUAGUUGGUGAGGUAACGGCCCACCAAGGCGACGAUCAGUAGCCGACCUGAGAGGGUGACCGGCCACAUUGGGACUGAGACACGGCCCAAACUCCUACGGGAGGCAGCAGUGGGGAAUAUUGCACAAUGGGCGAAAGCCUGAUGCAGCCGACGCCGCGUGAGCGAUGAAGUAUUUCGGUAUGUAAAGCUCUAUCAGCAGGGAAGAAAAAAUGACGGUACCUGACUAAGAAGCUCCGGCUAAAUACGUGCCAGCAGCCGC
rnacentral:rRNA from 1 species